UAGCCAUAUAUGCAUCGCAUACACACGACCACGUAUACGAGGGCAGGACAAGCGGCUAUGAAGUCUUCAAGAUCAACACAGGUACGCAAGAGACAAGACGGGCAGGGGCAAAAACCCAAUCCAAAUUCCUGCCGAAGAUCCAAAGAUCGCCGAACAGCUCACGCCAUGUAGAGAGUCUCAGAGACCUUCUCUCUCUCACUGUCUCACCAGUGGUUAUUUAUGCGAACCGUAGUAGGAGCAUCAGUGCAUGCCCAGUGCUCUGUGAUCCCGUUAGACGGCACGAUGUACCCACGGACAACCACCUGCUUUCUCGCCGCCGCCGUCGUCCUCCUCCUCCUGCCCCUUCUGACCUCCUACCCAUGCACGGUCGCCGCACAUCGCCUGCCGCCGCCCUCUCCUCCAGUGCUGCUGCUAGGUGGCGACGCCAGUGCUUGCGGCCGGAGCGCGGCGCGUGAGGGGAAGGGGCUGGCGGUGGGAGUUGCCAGGCGCUUGGGGCAUAGGCCGCCGGUGUGGAGCCUCCCUCGCCGAGACCCCAGGCCAGCCAGGGGGUGUACACGCCCACGCCGCCACCGCCGCCGUCGAUCAACGAAUAGGGCGCCGGGGUCAUGGCAUGCAUGCGCGGGCACGCGAUGCUGGCUUCCUUCCAUCAAUCAAUAUCUCCUGCUUAUUCCAGGGUGUUGCGUGGAUAUGCACUACAGGAUAAGGAACAGCUAGCGGCCGUGUACCAAAGCACUUCCGCUAGUGUCAAAUAAACUUGAGUCUAUUCUAUUA